rnacentral:rRNA from 1 species
UACGGGGGGAGCAAGCGUUGUUCGGAUUUACUGGGCGUAAAGGGCGCGUAGGCGGCCACCGCAAGUCGACUGUGAAAUCUCCGGGCUUAACCCGGAAAGGUCAGCCGAUACUGCGGGGCUAGAGUGCAGAAGGGGCAACUGGAAUUCUCGGUGUAGCGGUGAAAUGCGUAGAUAUCGAGAGGAACACCUGCGGCGAAGGCGGGUUGCUGGGCUGACACUGACGCUGAGCGACGAGAACUAGGGGAGCGAACGGG